UGAACUUUUGACUGGCAUCUGAAGCAGGGGUGCAUUCUUGCGGGACUGAGCCCUUAACCUGUGGGAUCUGAUGCUAUCUCCAGGUAGAUAGUGUCAGAAUUGAGUUAAAUUGUAGGACACCCAGCUGGUAUUGCAGAAUUGCUUGGUGUGUGGAGAACCCACACGUCUGGUGUCAGAGGUGAAGUAAGGAGAGUAGAGAGGAAGAG